ACUUGCAUGGAAAGAGUCUCCCAAGCAAAGAUGUACGACAUUAGUUUCUGGCAAUUUUUCCUUCUAAUAUUUUGCUAGUUUUCCAUCAGAUCCCAUAUAUAGAUGAAGAAAGCAGGUGCAACGGCUGCUAUUUUGGAAAUUGCAGAGAGGUUAACAAACAGAGAGCAAAACUGAAGAACGGGAACCUUAUAUUAUGAAGCCAUUAGAGGAACUUACAAUUUGGCCCAUUGAACGCUGAAGAGUUUCAGCACUUCGGGAAGAGAAGCGCAUAACCUCUGGAAGAGAUGCACUACAUUGGGAGGGGAUGUGCAGUAUACCUUGGGCAUGGCUCUUAGCUUUCAGACAGCAGGACCACUUGUCAAGUGGAGAAUUGUUCGUCAG